GAUGAACGCUAGCUACAGGCUUAACACAUGCAAGUCGAGGGGCAGCAUGGUCUUAGCUUGCUAAGGCCGAUGGCGACCGGCGCACGGGUGAGUAACACGUAUCCAACCUGCCGUCUACUCUUGGACAGCCUUCUGAAAGGAAGAUUAAUACAAGAUGGCAUCAUGAGUUCACAUGUUCACAUGAUUAAAGGUAUUCCGGUAGACGAUGGGGAUGCGUUCCAUUAGAUAGUAGGCGGGGUAACGGCCCACCUAGUAUUCGAUGGAUAGGGGUUCUGAGAGGAAGGUCCCCCACAUUGGAACUGAGACACGGUCCAAACUCCUACGGGAGGCAGCAGUGAGGAAUAUUGGUCAAUGGGCGAGAGCCUGAACCAGCCAAGUAGCGUGAAGGAGGACUGCCCUAUGGGUUGUAAACUUCUUUUAUAAAGGAAUAAAGUCGGGUAUGGAUACCCGUUUGCAUGUACUUUAUGAAUAAGGAUCGGCUAACUCCGUG
rnacentral:rRNA from 1 species